CACGUAGGGCGCAAGCGUUGUCCGGAAUUACUGGGCGUAAAGCGCGCGCAGGCGGUCUUCCAAGUCAGUGGUGAAAGCCUGGAGCUCAACUCCAGAACUGCCAUUGAAACUGUUAGACUUGAGUACGAGAGAGGUGAGUGGAAUUCCCAGUGUAGAGGUGAAAUUCGUAGAUAUUGGGAAGAACACCGGUGGCGAAGGCGGCUCACUGGCUCGUAACUGACGCUCAGGCGCGACAGCGUGGGGAUCAAACAGG
rnacentral:rRNA from 1 species